GACGAACGCUGGCGGCGUGCUUAACACAUGCAAGUCGAGCGGAGCGGCGAACGGGUGAGUAACGCGCGAGUAACUGCCCCCCUCUCUGGGAUAACAGUUGGACACGGCUGCUAAUACCGGAUAGUGGGGGAUGACUCGCGUCCUAUCAGCUUGUUGGUGGGGUAGUGGCGUACCAAGGCGACGACGGGUAGCCGGCCUGAGAGGGCGACCGGCCACAUUGGGCUGAGGUGCAGCCCAAACUCCUUCGUGAGGCAGCAGUGGGGGAUAUUGCACGAUGGGAGAAGCCCGGAGGCAGCAACGCCGCGUGCGGAAUGACGGCUUUCGGGUUGUAAACCGCUUUCAGCCAUGACGCGGUAUUGGCAGAAGAAGCACCGGCUAACUACGUGCCAGCAGCCGCGGUAAUAC
rnacentral:rRNA from 1 species